rnacentral:rRNA from 1 species
GUCCAUGCCGUAAACGAUGUCUACUAGCCGUUGGGUCUUUGAGACUUUAGUGGCGCAGCUAACGCGAUAAGUAGACCGCCUGGGGAGUACGGUCGCAAGACUAAACUCAAAUGAAUUGACGGGGCCCGCACAAGCGGUGGAGCAUGUGGUUUAAUUCGACGCUACGCGAAGAACCUUACCUGGGCUCGAACGACUGGUAGUAGUCCUUUUGAAAGAGAGGGCGACCCGCAAGGGAGCCAGCCGAGGUGCUGCAUGGCUGUCGU